CCUUCAAUAGCUCAGUUGUUAGAACGGGGGACUGUAGAUUUAUAAUUGUGUUCCCUAGGUUGCUGGUUCGGAUCCGGCUCGAAGGA
rfam:Nematostella vectensis strain CH2 x CH6 NEMVEscaffold_583_Cont30417, whole genome shotgun sequence.